AUACGUAUGUCGCAAGCGUUAUCCGGAAUUAUUGGGCGUAAAGCGAGUCUAGGCGGCUUGUUAAGUCAGAUGUGAAAAUGCGGGGCUCAACUCCGUAUUGCGUUUGAAACUGGCAGGCUAGAGUACUGGAGAGGUGGGCGGAACUACAAGUGUAGAGGUGAAAUUCGUAGAUAUUUGUAGGAAUGCCGAUAGUGAAGACAGCUCACUGGACAGAUACUGACGCUAAAGCUCGAAAGCGUGGGGAGCGAACAGGAUUAGAAACCCUAGUAGUCC
rnacentral:rRNA from 1 species